ACUGAAUAGAUACCCGGGUAGUCCACGCCCUAAACGAUGUCAACUAGGUGUUGGAGGAGCAAUCCUUUGGUACCGCAGCUAAACGCGUGAAGUUGACCGCCUGGGGAGUACGGUCGCAAGAUUAAAACUACAAAGGAAUUGACGGGGACCCGCACAAGCGGUGGAUGAUGUGGAUUAAAUUCGAUGCAACGCGAACAACCUUACCUACCCUUGACAUGUCCGGAAGGCUGCUGAAAGGCGGCUGUGCCCGAAAGGGAACUGGAACACAGGUGCUGCAUGGCUGUCGUCAGCUCGUGUCGUGAGAUGUUGGGUUAAGUCCCGCAACGAGCGCAACCCUUGUCCUUAGUUGCUACGCAAGGGCACUCUAAGGAGACUGCCGGUGACAAACCGGAGGAAGGUGGGGAUGACGUCAAGUCCUCAUGGCCCUUAUGGGUAGGGCUUCACACGUCAUACAAUGGUCGGCACAGA
rnacentral:rRNA from 1 species